rnacentral:misc_RNA from 1 species
AGCAUAGCUUAGCUUGCUUCCCCAAUGCCAAUGUCAUCGACAGCACAAAUGGCUUCCCUCGCCGUUCUCAUCAUUUCCCUCGUCUUUGCGGCGCUUGCCUCCGACUCCGACGCCGCCGCAGGCGUCCGCGUCGAGCUCACGCGCGUCCACGCCGACCCCAGCGUGACCGCGUCCCAGUUCGUCCGCGGCGCCCUGCGCCGCGACAUGCACCGGCACAACGCCAGGAAGCUAGCCCUAGCCGCGUCGUCCGGCGCCACGGUGUCCGCGCCGACCCAGGACUCGCCCACCGCCGGGGAGUACCUGAUGGCGCUGGCCAUCGGCACGCCGCCGCUGCCGUACCAGGCCAUCGCCGACACGGGCAGCGACCUCAUCUGGACGCAGUGCGCGCCCUGCACCUCCCAGUGCUUCCGCCAGCCGACGCCGCUGUACAACCCGUCCAGCUCCACCACGUUCGCCGUGCUCCCGUGCAACAGCUCGCUGAGCGUAUGCGCGGCGGCGCUGGCCGGGACCGGGACGGCCCCGCCGCCGGGGUGCGCGUGCACGUACAACGUCACGUACGGCAGCGGGUGGACGAGUGUCUUUCAGGGGUCCGAGACCUUCACGUUCGGGUCCACGCCGGCCGGUCAUGCCCGCGUCCCUGGCAUCGCCUUCGGCUGCAGCACCGCCAGCAGCGGCUUCAACGCCUCGUCCGCGUCCGGCCUCGUCGGGCUGGGCAGGGGGAGGCUGUCGCUCGUCUCCCAGCUCGGCGUCCCCAAGUUCUCCUACUGCCUCACGCCGUACCAGGACACCAACAGCACGAGCACGCUCCUCCUCGGGCCGUCGGCGUCGCUCAACGGCACCGCCGGCGUCAGCUCCACGCCUUUCGUCGCCAGCCCUUCCACUGCGCCCAUGAACACCUUCUACUAUCUCAACCUGACCGGCAUAUCCCUCGGCACGACGGCACUGUCCAUCCCGCCCGACGCCUUCUCGCUCAACGCGGACGGCACCGGCGGGCUCAUCAUCGACUCUGGCACCACCAUCACAUUACUGGGCAAUACGGCGUACCAGCAGGUUCGGGCAGCGGUUGUCUCCCUGGUGACGCUGCCCACCACAGACGGGUCGGCAGACACGGGGCUCGACCUGUGCUUCAUGCUGCCCUCCUCAACAUCGGCGCCGCCGGCCAUGCCGAGCAUGACGCUCCACUUCAACGGCGCGGACAUGGUGCUCCCGGCGGACAGCUACAUGAUGUCGGACGACUCCGGCUUGUGGUGCCUGGCCAUGCAGAACCAGACCGACGGCGAGGUAAACAUUCUCGGCAACUACCAGCAGCAAAACAUGCACAUCCUCUACGACAUUGGGCAGGAGACAUUGUCGUUUGCUCCGGCCAAAUGCAGCGCGCUCUGAUCAGAGCUUUACAGAACUGAAAAUACGCGCGCGCAAUUGCAUAAGGAUCGUGAUUUUUUUUAACUAUAUAUUAUGUAAAAAUGGCGUGUUGCUCGGGUUGGGUUGUAAAGCAGGAGAUAUUUUUCCUUCUCGGAUCCAUGUGCUUUAUUCUUUAUUUUUAGGGUCUUCUUUAUUCUUCAUUUGAAAUACACUUCUCCAUCCAGAGCAAAUAAAUAUUUGAAGAUCAAGG